rnacentral:lncRNA from 1 species
CACUUUAGUUUGGAGCCAAAUCAUUUUCUUCAAAGAGAGAAGGUCACAGCAACUCCUGACAGGAGCGAGCAGGAGCAGAAACCUGAGCUCUGCUCUCCAGCUGGUGGUGUUACCACCCAUUCGUGGUUCCUGAGAGAGAACAGGGAGGUGAGCCAGGCCUUAACACCCUGUGUUGCAUUGACAAGCAUGGACCUGGCCUUUCAGACCAAGCUUCCAUGCCUACCAGCACUGGACUGAGCCACUUCUUCAUCCAGCCAGCAAAUCAAUGCAAACCCAAGAGUGGCUCCAGGAGGAAGAUUUCAUGAGAGUGAGGCAGUGACCUUGAGAGCCUGGGAUCUCCCAUCACAGUGCUGCCUGGCCAGCCUCCAGCCCUGGCCAGUGAUGGGGUCUCCAUUCCUCAGUCUGUAGCCCAAGCAGCAAGGGUGAAGUGGAUUGUGGUAACAAUUUGAGUACCUGACGUCUUUCAUCCUGGACUGGCUUCCUGGAGGAGGGAGUGUGUCUAAUUCACCUGCUCAUACUGUGCCUUGUCCUCCUCAGCCCUCCAGCCUGGCCCCCAGGCCCAGAAAAUUCUCUCUAUUGAGGUUCCUUUAGUAGGAUCCAUCUGAUAAAGUUGCAGAGGCAUCUUGGAUUUACAACACCCCCUGCCAGCCCCUCACUGAACCACACAUCAUCUGCAGCAGGAGGCGUUGGAUUACAUUUGGCUGGAGCGCCCGCAUCAACUCCAGUUGUCCCUGAAUUGGAACUGAUGGGCCUCACGUGCCACAGCCAACAGUUUGUCUUCACCCACUCCCCUCUCUGGAAUGAACCUUUCUCUGGGAAAACAAGAAACCUACGUGCCAUCCUGGGUGAGAGACAAACAGGAGCUGCAUCCCAGGAUCGCAUCCCCGGUAUGAUGGGUUCCCCACAGCAAGCCACACUUCAAGCAUCUCUGGAAAGACCUUCUGAACCACAGGACACAAAUGCUCCCUCUGGAGCACCGGAGCCUCUGUGUUCCUCUCAGCUCACAGGCAUCCAUUCUUCCUGCAUUCAGGCUCCUUGAGGAAUGCCUUUAGCUCUAGCUAUUGCAAGCUUUUAAGAACUUAUUGGAACACAAAUGCUCAUUUCAAGGAAACAGAUAACAGUUGCAAAUGGAUUAAACGUAAUCCCUGUGCUGGAGCCCUUGAAGGAAAAGAGAUGGGGGUUUCUGGGCUGUGAGAUGAAGCUUGGUCAAGGAUGCUUGCUUUGAGGACUCUGCUCUGAAAACCCAGGAAGGAGAAGACUCGGGAUUCAAAAUCAUGCAGCCUAAUGCAGAGCCAGCACCCUGACCCUCCCUGUGAGAGCUCUUCAAGGAGUAAGUCUCAUUAAUAACCCAACUCGUGCACUAGAAUGAAUGAACGAUCCAUCUACUUCAUUUGCGGUAAAAUGACUUUUCUGCCAAGUUGAUGAAAGGUGGCUAACAAGGGGAGUUUUGGGGCCUAGGAUACUGCUAUACCAUGAGUGCUAUCCCUCCCAGACUGCAAGGUGAGAUUAUAAACAGUCCGUAGUCAAGGUCUUGUUGGUAGACAAGAGACCUGCUUACGCAUGAAGUAUGCAUCUCCUGAAAACCAUCAGCAUGCUCUCUGGGAGCAGUAAACACUGAUAAUGCAGCAUACCACCAGAUGAGCCUGCUUUUCUCUCCAGCCCAGACAGACACCCCACCCUAGGUGGAGGGCUCUACCCUGUAAGUCUCCUAGAGUGAAGGGCUAAGCCUGGCUAGAGGGCAGAAUUCCCACACAGAUGCCAGGCAUACAAUUCCUGUUUAACACUUCCCUUCUUCUAUGUAACCUUAAAACUGUCCUUUGUAUGUAGAAAACACAGACUAGGACUCACAUUUAAUUUUUGAUGUACUUGCCAAUUUCUGGACAUCAAACUAGAAUGAAAAUUCAAGUUUGGACUUCACACCAGAGGAUCUUGGGCCAUAGAGUCUGCUGUUCAAUAUGAAAUUGAGUAUUCCUCGUUCCCAUAUCCAGAGGAGAUAGGGGAAAUUGUGACCUCUAUCUCAUGUGUGACAUACCAAAAAUUAAAAAAAAAAAAAAA